GACGAACGCUGGCGGCGUGCUUAACACAUGCAAGUCGAACGCUGAAGCUCAGCUUUUGUUGGGUGGAUGAGUGGCGAACGGGUGAGUAACACGUGAGUAACCUGCCCCCUUCUUUGGGAUAACGCCCGGAAACGGGUGCUAAUACUGGAUAUUCACUGGUCUUCGCAUGGGGGUUGGUGGAAAGGGUUUUUCUGGUGGGGGAUGGGCUCGCGGCCUAUCAGCUUGUUGGUGGGGUGAUGGCCUACCAAGGCUUUGACGGGUAGCCGGCCUGAGAGGGUGACCGGUCACAUUGGGACUGAGAUACGGCCCAGACUCCUACGGGAGGCAGCAGUGGGGAAUAUUGCACAAUGGGCGCAAGCCUGAUGCAGCGACGCCGCGUGAGGGAUGGAGGCCUUCGGGUUGUGAACCUCUUUCGCACAUGGUCAAGCCGCAACAAUGGUUGUGGUGAGGGUAGUGGGUAAAGAAGCGCCGGCUAACUACGUG
rnacentral:rRNA from 1 species